UACGUAGGGGGCAAGCGUUGUCCGGAAUCAUUGGGCGUAAAGAGCGCGUAGGCGGCCCUGUAAGUCCGCUGUGAAAGUCAAGGGCUCAACCCUUGAAUGCCGGUGGAUACUGCAGGGCUAGAGUCCGGAAGAGGAAAGUGGAAUUCCUGGUGUAGCGGUGAAAUGCGCAGAUAUCAGGAAGAACACCCGUGGCGAAGGCGGCUUUCUGGGACGGUACUGACGCUGAGACGCGAAAGCGUGGGGAGCGAACAGG
rnacentral:rRNA from 1 species